GGCGACGUGGCCAAGUGGUUAAGGCAGGGGUCUGCAAAACCCCCAUCGGCGGUUCGAAUCCGCCCGUCGCCUCCA
rnacentral:tRNA from 1 species